UGGGAAGUGAUGCAUCUUUCUUGGCCUGAAUGUUCCUUGAAGGUUCGUUGUAUUCAUACUGUCUGAUCCCA